rnacentral:rRNA from 1 species
GACCUGCGGAAGGAUCAUUAAAGAGUAAGGGUGCUCAGCGCCCGACCUCCAACCCUUUGUUGUUAAAACUACCUUGUUGCUUUGGCGGGACCGCUCGGUCUCGAGCCGCUGGGGAUUCGUCCCAGGCGAGCGCCCGCCAGAGUUAAACCAAACUCUUGUUAUUAAACCGGUCGUCUGAGUUAAAAUUUUGAAUAAAUCAAAACUUUCAACAACGGAUCUCUUGGUUCUCGCAUCGAUGAAGAACGCAGCGAAAUGCGAUAAGUAAUGUGAAUUGCAGAAUUCAGUGAAUCAUCGAAUCUUUGAACGCACAUUGCGCCCCUUGGUAUUCCGAGGGGCAUGCCUGUUCGAGCGUCAUUACACCACUCAAGCUAUGCUUGGUAUUGGGUGCCGUCCUUAGUUGGGCGCGCCUUAAAGACCUCGGCGAGGCCUCACCGGCUUUAGGCGUAGUAGAAUUUAUUCGAACGUCUGUCAAAGGAGAGGACUUCUGCCGACUGAAACCUUUUAUUUUUCUAGGUUGACCUCGGAUCAGGUAGGGAUACCCGCUGAACUUAAGCAUAUCAAUA